rnacentral:rRNA from 1 species
UACGUAGGGUGCAAGCGUUAAUCGGAAUUACUGGGCGUAAAGGGUGCGCAGGCGGAUAUGUAAGUCAGUGGUGAAAUCUCUAGGCUUAACCUGGAAAUUGCCGUUGAUACUAUAUAUCUUGAAUGUUGUGGAGGUAAGCAGAAUAUGUCAUGUAGCGGUGAAAUGCUUAGAUAUGACAUAGAAUACCUAUUGCGAAGGCAGCUUACUACGCAGAUAUUGACGCUCAUGCACGAAAGCGUGGGGAUCAAACAGG